rnacentral:rRNA from 1 species
ACUCCUACGGGAGGCAGCAGUGGGGAAUAUUGCACAAUGGGGGAAACCCUGAUGCAGCAACGCCGCGUGAAGGAUGAAGGUCUUCGGAUCGUAAACUUCUUUUAUGAGGGACGAAGGACGUGACGGUACCUCAUGAAUAAGCCACGGCUAACUACGUGCCAGCAGCCGCGGUAAU